rnacentral:rRNA from 1 species
UGGGGAAUUUUGGACAAUGGGCGAAAGCCUGAUCCAGCAAUGCCGCGUGUGUGAAGAAGGCCUUCGGGUUGUAAAGCACUUUUGUCCGGAAAGAAAUCCUUGGCUCUAAUACAGUCGGGGGAUGACGGUACCGGAAGAAUAAGCACCGGCUAACUACGUGCCAGCAGCCGCGGUAAUACGUAGGGUGCAAGCGUUAAUCGGAAUUACUGGGCGUAAAGCGUGCGCAGGCGGUUUGCUAAGACCGAUGUGAAAUCCCCGGGCUCAACCUGGGAACUGCAUUGGUGACUGGCAGGCUAGAGUAUGGCAGAGGGGGGUAGAAUUCCACGUGUAGCAGUGAAAUGCGUAGAGAUGUGGAGGAAUACCGAUGGCGAAGGCAGCCCCCUGGGGCCAAAUACUGACGCUCAUGCACGAAAGCGUGGGGAGCGAACAGGAUUAGAUACCCUGGUAGUCCACGCCCUAAAACGAUGUCAACUAGUUGUUGGGGAAUUCAUUUCCUUAGUAACGUAGCUAACGCGUGAAGUUGACCGCCUGGGGAGUACGGUCGCAAGAUUAAAACUUAAAUGAAUUGAC